UGCAUAGUGCAUUGCAUAAAAAAAUGCACUUUAUUUUAUAUAUCACCGGCCAAAAUUAUUAGGUCAAUGCCGAUAUUGCACUAGGGACACAGUAUAAUAAAAAGAAAUUUCUCAUGUAUUAAAUCAACUUGUUUGUAUUACAAAGGACACGAUACAAAGAUUACAAGAUUUGAAACUAGUACUAAUCCCAUUCUUGACCUUGCAACCAACGUCUCAGCCAUUCUGAAACAUAAUAAUCGAAACAUUGACACAGAAAAUAUCAGAAACAUAAUGAUUGAAACAUUGGCACUAGAAAAAGACACAAUGUGAAACUAUCUAGUAGCACCCCUAUUCUUGACCUUGCAAUCAACAUCUGAACCAUGCAUCAUCCAAUAUUGCAAUCUACAACAGAGAAAUGAAAUAGGUUAAUAUGCAAGAAAAGUUGAAAGGAGGAGCAACAUAGAAAGGUUGAUGGCAAUGUGAUAAUUAAUCUGGCUGCAUCAACCCGAAAUACCAAGAAUUCAUUACCAAAUGUAACAUUGUCAACUUUAGCUUUAUAUUCGGGGUCGCUACUUUGGAUUGAAGUAAUAGCAAUGUUCUUGUUCGGAUUUGUCCAGUGUUACAUUUGUAGCUUACAAUAGUCAUUUUAGCUUACAGUAAACUAACUCAGCUCAUUUCAUUAUUAAGUUUCACCAUGCUAAUAGAAACAGAGUGUUUUAUACGGGUAGGGGAAUGUAAGGCAGACAUACGGUAGUUGAUGAAUUGUUUUACGUAAUCUAGCAGCAAAGAGUCUUAUCUCACAGUAGUAGUACACCUAUUUUCACAUGCAAGAAAAGUGUUCUCUCGCAGGAAUUAGGUGAAAAAAGAGAGAAGCAUGUCCAAGAUAAUAAAAUAUAGUCAAGCAAUGCUAUUAAUACUACAAAAUUUCCAUUCGAUCUGGUGAAGAAUCAUUCAUGCAAUGUAGAACUACUAUCAGAAAAUACCUCCUAGUAAAUCCACCUUGGCACUAGUGGUGUUCUAUGUUUUAGCGCCAACAACAUCAACUUGGAACAAUCGAGUCUCUGUAACCUGCUGAUUUCACAUAUGCAUUAGUAGUCUAUAUGUUUGGUUUUGCCGACAGAAUUGUUCGCAUCAAAAUAGCCGAACACGUGUGACGAAAAAACUUAAGCGUACUCUUUAUUCUUUUAGAUCAAAACUCUUACAUGGCCUUGUUUUUUAUGGAAAAACUCUUGCGCGACCUGGUUCCACGAUAUGACGUGCUACAUGGCUGAAACAAUCUAAACUCUUACAUAGCAUCUAAAACGACUCAAACUCCAGCGACCUUUUCCUGGACUAGUAAGGCAUGCUAACUCCAAGACAAUACUAGUACAAUAUGUAGGCCGCUUGCUAUGCAAACUCAUUGAAUCAUGUAUAGACUACGACCCACCUGAUAACAUAAUCACCUACGACAUGCAAACCAGACAUGUUGGAAAACUAACUAAUCAACCUAUCCAAAUUAGACUCAAACUUGUCUAGUUAAACUAGAAUGGACUCCUACUAAACUACUUAAAAAUUAUUCUAAAAAUUUAAAAGACCACAACAUUCAUGCAGACUAAGUAAUGCCAGCAUAUUAGUAUAUGCCAAAUUCUAUUAAAUAUGAUUUGCUUUCUUAGUUCACUUGUUUAGGGAGAACAUGGAAACUUAGAGCAGUUCCAGUAUGCUCAUCUCUGUCACCAUGGUUGCUGGAUGCAUGCUCAGACUGUUGGCCCGAAUAGGUAGAGGAGAAGGCCAUAAGUAUUACAGAGAAGAGGAGAUCCUAGUAAGAUCCAAUGGUUUGGGAUUUAGUGAAUUCGACGUAGCUGACACACUCGCACAGUCGCCGCAUCUGAUCGCUUAGCUCUUUGUUUAUGGUUGCUAAUAUCAUCCCACCACCGUAGUGUGCCCUAUAUGUCAGGGAAGCAGAAUGCACAAAAGGAAUAAUUUGCAUGUUUACGUUGUUGCAUUAACCAAGUACAUGCUGAUUGUGUUAACAGUUGAAGGAGAAUAUAUUACAAACAAGAUAAGAUGUGAGAGGCACCUGGCCAAGAGUUUGUGUGCUGACCAAUCAUGCAUCCUUCUACUAUUUGGAAACAUCUGUGGCUCCCCACAAAAUACAAAAUCAGUACAGAGAUUGAAGUACAUGUAAUUCCAAAAAAAUGCACUAAACUCGAUUUAGAGGUGAGAUUCCAAGAGUACGAGUCAUAUACAUAUGAUGAGAAUAUCAAGGUAUGGUGUUCUUGUAACUCACCUUCAGAUUUUAUAAAUUAUUUGGAUAACAUGAGUGUAAGAAUUAUUUCCAUCUGAGAUUUUGCAUAAAAUUUGAGAUUGUAGUAUGCCCAUUUUUACUGAAUAAGAAGCUGAAACUAAUGUAACUUUUGGUCAGGGGGAAAAAUAUCAACCAAAAAAAUAGAAUACGAUACAAAUUCAUGUUUUCCUUACAUUAAUAUGAACAACAUGAACUAUCGAAAGGAUCCUCACCAUGCUAUAAACAACUGACUUAAAUAAUUCCCAAGGCUUCUUCUGCAUAUUCAUGGAUUUCUCUUUAUUGCAAUGCACUAGUGUAGUAGAUAAAUCUGUUAAAAAACAGCAGAAGCACACACUUAGUAAAAGAUAAUGUCAGAACCUGCGAGUGUAGAUGGAACAAAGGGUUAUAGAAUAAACACAAAUAUUGGGACGAACGGAUAAAAGUGGGACUUGUUUAUUUAGUAUACUGUAUGUAUUCAUGUGACACCAAAUAAAUAACGAUUCAGUCUAUUGAGAAGGGUAUUCUCCAUUUAAAAAAAUCAUGCUAGUAUCAUGGAACCAUAAUUGCACUGACAUGCUGUCUUCUCCGGUGACAUACAUGAUCGCAUAUGAUAUAUCGCUGAUACACUAUCUCACUCCAAUUUGAACCAAGUUGAUCUCCUUUAUAAGAAAACUGCAUUGAUGUUAUUGAACAGGUCAUGCUACAUGUUAGUAUGUACUCCCUCCGUAAACUAAUAUAAGAGCGUUUAGAAUACUAAAAUAGUGAUCUAAACGCUCUUAUAUUAGUUUACAGAGGGAGUAAUGAUUAAUUUCACUUGAAAAAAAUACCUAAUUAUCCAUCGAUCCAUCUAUAUAGUAAGAGGAAAGUCUGACCAUAACACAUGACAGGGUACUACUCAUCCAGAAGUAGUAUAGAUCAACACAUGGUGAUUCAGAUCUAAUCUAAUACAGUAAACACCAGAGCCAGACAUGUCCAUGUCAGAGUCGAGGUAGAAGAGACGGAGUACCAAUGUCAAUCCCGAGCCGGCUGCUGCACGUGAGGUGAUGCAGUGGUAGUUGGCUGAUAAACCAGAGCUACUGGAGCCACGCCGGCGACGCUUGGCGACUAGGGUUGUUGCGUGGCGUGCGUGCAGGGGCGCGGUGGACGGGUGUGAAGUAUCGGGGGAGAACAUAGAGGGAGUCGGGGAGAUCCGUGAGCAGUGGGUUGGGAGUCCACCGGAGCCUCCCGGAAUCGGAGUUGGCGGCGGCGGCGGCGCUGUGGUGUGAGACAUAGAGGAAUCAGGGGAGAGAUGUGGCUGGGAGAAAAAAAAUGGUAUUUUAGGCUGUGUGAUAUAUUUGGAAGGAGGGGGCGCAGAUAAGGUGGAGGUGGGUACGGUACUGUAAAAAAAGGAAAGAGGUGGGGGUGCGUGGAGG
rnacentral:lncRNA from 1 species